AACGUAGGAAGCGAGCGUUAUCCGGAUUUACUGGGCGUAAAGCGUGUGUAGGCGGUUUGACAAGUUGGAUGUGAAAGCUCCUGGCUUAACUGGGAGAGGUCGUUCAAAACUGUCAGACUUGAGAGUGGUAGAGGGAGGUGGAAUUCCGGGUGUAGUGGUGAAAUGCGUAGAUAUCCGGAGGAACACCAGUGGCGAAAGCGGCCUCCUGGCCCAUUUCUGACGCUCAGACACGAAAGCUAAGGUAGCAAACGGG
rnacentral:rRNA from 1 species